rnacentral:rRNA from 1 species
UCGGGUUGUAAAGCACUUUUGUCCGGAAAGAAAACUUCUGCCCUAAUACGGUGGGAGGAUGACGGUACCGGAAGAAUAAGCACCGGCUAACUACGUGCCAGCAGCCGCGGUAAUACGUAGGGUGCGAGCGUUAAUCGGAAUUACUGGGCGUAAAGCGUGCGCAGGCGGUUCGCUAAGACAGAUGUGAAAUCCCCCGGGCUUUAACUGGGAACUGCAUUUGUGACUGGCGGGCUAGAGUAUGGCAGAGGGGGGGUAGAAUUCCACGUGUAGCAGUGAAAUGCGUAGAGAUGUGGAGGAAUACCGAUGGCGAAGGCAGCCCCCUGGGCCAAUACUGACGCUCAUGCACGAAAGCGUGGGGAGCAAACAGGAUUAGAUACCCUGGUAGUCCACGCCCUAAACGAUGUCAACUAGUUGUUGGGGAUUCAUUUCCUUAGUAACGUAGCUAACGCGUGAAGUUGACCGCCUGGGGAGUACGGUCGCAAGAUUAAAACUCAAAGGAAUUGACGGGGACCCGCACAAGCGGUGGAUGAUGUGGAUUAAUUCGAUGCAACGCGAAAAACCUUACCUACCCUUGACAUGUAUGGAACCUGGCUG